rnacentral:lncRNA from 1 species
CUCCUUUAUAGUUUGCUCUCUCUAUAUGUUUGAGUUUGCCUCAUUAAUAAAUAGAUCUUAGUUGUACUCUUUUGAUAUCAAGAAUUUAUCAAUAAAAUUUUUAGAAGACUUUCUUUCUAUAAUUUGCUUGUUGUGAUGUGAGACCACGAUCAUAGCAGCAACUAGUGUAAGAUCGAAAACUUCGAGUGAUCCCCAAAGAUGUUCUAGGUGC